rnacentral:rRNA from 1 species
GUGUCAGCAGCCGCGGUAAGACAUAGGUGGCGAACGUUAUCCGGAUUUAUUGGGCGUAAAGGAUGCGUAGAUGGUGGAAUAAGUUAUUGGUCAAAGUCAAGCUCAACUUGGCGGAAGCUGGUAAUACUAUUCUACUUGAGGAUAGGAGAGGUUGGCGGAAUUCUGUGUGGAGCGGUGAAAUGCGUUGAUCUACAGAGGAACACCAAAAAAGGCGAAGGCAGCCAACUAUUCUAUUCCUGACAUUGAGGCAUGAAAGCGUGGGGAGCAAACCGGAUUAGAUACCCGCGUAGUCC